GAUGAACGCUGGCGGCGUGCCUAAUACAUGCAAGUCGAGCGAACAGACGAGGAGCUUGCUCCUUCGACGUUAGCGGCGGACGGGUGAGUAACACGUAGGUAACCUACCUAUAAGACUGGGAUAACUUCGGGAAACCGGAUCUAAUACCGGAUAAUAUUUCGAACCGCAUUGUUCGAUAGUGAAAGAUGGCUUUGCUAUCACGUAUAGAUGGACCUGCGCCGUAUUAGCUAGUUGGUAAGGUAACGGCUUACCAAGGCAACGAGUCGUAGCCGACCUGAGAGGGUGAUCGGCCACACUGGAACUGAAACACGGUCAAGACUCCUACGGGAGGCAGCAGUAGGGAAUCUUCCGCAAUGGGCGAAAGCCUGACGGAGCAACGCCGCGUGAGUGAUGAAGGUCUUCGGAUCGUAAAACUCUGUUAUUAGGGAAGAACAAACGUGUAAGUAACUGUGCACGUAUUGACGGUACCUAAUCAGAAAGCCACGGCUAACUACGUG
rnacentral:rRNA from 1 species